rnacentral:rRNA from 1 species
UGGGGAAUAUUGCGCAAUGGGGGAAACCCUGACGCAGCGACGCCGUGUGAGGGAAGAAGGCCUUCGGGUCGUAAACCUCUGUCGGUAGGGAAGAACCGCCGGUUUCCGAACAGGGAGCCGGCCUGACGGUACCUCCGAAGGAAGCGCCGGCUAACUCCGUGCCAGCAGCCGCGGUAAUACGGAGGGCGCGAGCGUUAAUCGGAAUCACUGGGCGUAAAGCGCGCGUAGGCGGCCAGAUAAGUCGGGCGUGAAAGCCCUCGGCUCAACCGAGGAAUGGCGUUCGAGACUGUGUGGCUUGAGUCCUGGAGAGGGUGGGGGAAUUCCGGGUGUAGGAGUGAAAACCGUAGAUAUCCGGAGGAACACCGGUGGCGAAGGCGGCCACCUGGAGAGGUACUGACGCUGAGGUGCGAAAGCGUGGGGAGCAAACAG